GAAGACGUUCCGCUUUGAAAUGCAGCGGGAUUUGCUGAGUUUCCCGCUGUCUCCAGCGGUGUGGGCAAAGUUGGUGUCUGCGGGUUUCCAGACUGCUGAGGAACUCCUGGAGGUGAAACCCUCCGAGCUUAGCAAAGAAGUUGGGAUAUCUAAAGAGGAAGCCUUAGAAACUCCGCAAAUUAUAAGAGAAUGUCUCACAAAUAAACCAAGAUAUGCUGGUACAUCUGAGUCAGGAAAGAAGUGUACAGCACUGGAACUUCUUGAACAGGAGCAUACCCAGGGAUCCAUAAUUACCUUCUGUUCAGCACUAGAUAAUAUUCUUGGGGGUGGAGUACCCUUAAUGAAAACGACAGAAAUUUGUGGUGCAACAGGCAUUGGAAAAACACAAUUAUGUAUGCAGUUGGCAGUAGAUGUGCAGAUACCAGAAUGUUUUGGAGGAGUGGCAGGUGAAGCAGUUUUUAUUGAUACAGAGGGAAGUUUUAUGGUUGAUAGAAUGGUAGACCUUGCUACUGCCUGCAUUCAGCACCUUCAGCUUAUAGCAGAAAAACACAAGGGAGAGGAACACCGAAAAGCUUUGGAGGAUUUCACUCUUGAAAAUAUUCUUUCCCAUAUUUAUUAUUUUCGCUGUCGUGCCUACACAGAGUUACUGGCACAAGUUUAUCUUCUUCCAGCUUUCCUUUCAGAACAGUCAAAGGUUCGGUUGGUGAUAGUGGAUGGCAUUGCUUUUCCAUUUCGUCAUGACCUAGAUGACCUGUCUCUUCGUACUCGGUUAUUAAAUGGCCUAGCCCAGCAAAUGAUCAGUCUUGCAAAUAAUCACAGAUUAGCUGUAAUUUUAACCAAUCAGAUGACAACAAAGAUUGAUAAAAAUCAGGCCUUGUUCAUUCCUGCAUUAGGGGAAAGUUGGGGACAUGCUGCUACAAUACGGCUAAUCUUUCAUUGGGACCAAAAGCAAAGGUUGGCAGCAUUGUACAAGUCACCCAGCCAGAAGGAAUCCACAGUACUGUUUCAAAUCACACCUCAGGGAUUUAGAGAUACUGUUAUUACUUCUGCAUGUUCAUUGCAGACAGAAGAUUCCUUGAAUACCCGGAAACGGUCACAAGACACAGAGGAAGAAUUAUAAC